UGGGAAGCUCCCUUGAUUCUCCUAUGGC
rnacentral:piRNA from 1 species